UAUGCUUCUUCUUUGCUGAAAUGAAGAAUAGUUGCUCUAUCGUAAUUUCUUUCCAAUAUCUAGUUUCAACCUUGAAUUCUCCAAAUUAAUAAAAUGAUUAAAUGCGUGGGUUGCAAAAUGCUCUAUGUAAAGUCUAAAGUAAUUAAUGGAUAUAUUUGUGAUGAUUUGAGCUGCUAGUAUCCUGUUCUAAACAACGCUAGAGUUCUGGAGUUUUUACAAAAAUAAAAUAAUCACAUUGAGUUAGAUUAAGCUUUGUUGACCCUUUGAGAGGUUGUCAUACCAUUGAAAACAAAAAUAUUUCAUUAUGUUAUCAUCUCAAAAGUUUGUUAGAAGGCAUAUGGCUAUGAAAAAAAAGCAUCCGAGGAAAUAAAAAGGGACAUGUGUCCGAAACCUCAAAAAGAAAGAUCACGAGGAAAUAAAAAGGGACAUGUGUCCGGAACCUCAAAAAAAAAAGGGCAAGUGCCCAACAGUAGAAUUAGCCACAUAGCCAUGUGUCUCUAAUAGACAAAAAGAGAAUGAUGGAAAAGAAAAAGUUUUCAAAAAUUCAAUGGUAUGAUUAACUUUAUCUUUGGAUCCAUUGUUUAAUUUGACAAAUAAAUGUGCUAAGUUUUGAAAAUCAAAAAA
rnacentral:lncRNA from 1 species